UUUUUCUUCUCUCUUCUGCAACUCACCCUCCUUUGCUCCGUUCACGUUUCAGCACCGUGAGAAGCGUCCCUGCACCGUGAGCUUUCCAUCAAACCGAUUGGUUUUGGAUUCUGAAACGGUUUGAGGAGUUUUGGGGUUUUAAACGUUAAGGGUAGAGGAGUAUACUGGAAUCUGUUUCUCUCUCUCUGAAGAACGAACGCACGUUGCUUAAUCCGGAUGGUGAGGCGUUACUUGAAGAAACGCUGGAAGAAGAAAAUUUGGAGGACGCCAACCUCGUCGAAGCUGAAGUGAAGGCCGAACAGUGAACGUUCGGUUCUAGUUAGUGUAUUUAGAGUAGCGAGCGGCUGUGAGCGAGCGCUCUUUUGACUGUAGAUAGUUGGACGUUCGGUCACUAUUUUUGUAAACCGUUCGUCCUUACCUUUUUGUAAACGCUCGUUAAUUCUAAUAUAUGAAAGGCCGUUCGGCCAUUUGUUUAA